CCUACGGGAGGCAGCAGUGAGGAAUAUUGGUCAAUGGACGAGAGUCUGAACCAGCCAAGUAGCGUGAAGGAUGACUGCCCUAUGGGUCGUAAACUUCUUUUAUAUGGGAAUAAAAUGUUCCACGUGUGGGAUGUUGUAUGUACCAUAUGAAUAAGGAUCGGCUAACUCCGUGCCAGCAGCCGCGGUAAUACGGAGGAUCCGAGCGUUAUCCGGAUUUAUUGGGUUUAAAGGGAGCGUAGGUGGAUUGUUAAGUCAGUUGUGAAAGUUUGCGGCUCAACCGUAAAAUUGCAGUUGAAACUGGCAGUCUUGAGUACAGUAGAGGUGGGCGGAAUUCGUGGUGUAGCGGUGAAAUGCUUAGAUAUCACGAAGAACUCCGAUUGCGAAGGCAGCUCACUGGACUGCAACUGACACUGAUGCUCGAAAGUGUGGGUAUCAAACAGGAUUAGAUACCCCUGUAGUC
rnacentral:rRNA from 1 species